rnacentral:rRNA from 1 species
CCUACGGGAGGCAGCAGUGAGGAAUAUUGGUCAAUGGCCGCGAGUCUGAACCAGCCAAGUCGCGUGAAGGAAGACGGCCCUACGGGUUGUAAACCUCUUUUGCCGGGGAGCAAAAAGCGUUACGCGUACCGCAUCGCGAGUACCCUAUGAACAAGCAUCGGCUAACUCCGUGCCAGCAGCCGCGGUAAUACGGAGGAUGCGAGCGUUAUCCGGAUUUAUUGGGUUUAAAGGGUGCGCAGGCGGCGCGUUAAGUCAGCGGUAAAAUGUCGGGGCUCAACCCCGACCAGCCGUUGAAACUGGCGGGCUAGAGUGGGCGAGAAGUAGGCGGAAUGCGUGGUGUAGCGGUGAAAUGCAUAGAUAUCACGCAGAACUCCGAUUGCGAAGGCAGCAUACCGUAGCCCAACUGACGCUCAGGCACGAAAGCGUGGGUAUCGAACAGGAUUAGAUACCCCUGUAGUC